UAGGCAAGCGGGGCGCAGAGGGAGAGGGGAGCGGAGCGGGAGCGAGAGAGCCAUCUUCAUACUUCACAUUUUGAGAAUUGAUGACUGAUAUUGACAACCUUGGAAUACUAAUAGCUCAUUAGUUUGUUAGCUCUACUUGCUGCUCAGUUCUAUCAAGAAGAAACUAGCGGGUGUACCCGCGCAUUUGCGCGGCUAGAUUUGGAUAUGUUUAUUUUUGUAAUGAAAGAUUAGUCUUUUGAUAUUUUGUUUAGUCAUCUAAACUUCUAUUAUUUUGUAUUGGCAUUAUGUAGAUGAUUAUCAUUAUUAUAUAACAAACUCCUCUACAUAUAGUGUUUUAGAUUCACACAGUUAUUUGCGUUUUGGUUAUCUCCAUUCUUUUAGCUUUCUAGCCAUUUUGACCUUUCGCAUCUCUCGACUACAUGGCCAUUCUUUUAGUUAUUAGCAAUUUUAUGGAGCUUUAUACGAAAAAUGUUAUAUCCAUCGUACGUUCCUAUGACAUCAAUUUUUUUAGUCGAUACUGUCAUUUGCACUUGUUAACAUCUAUAUAGUCAAUUUUGUUCAUCUGAUUGUGACUCCUCUGGUCAGGUCCUCAAACCCUAGCCGUUGUUGUGUGGAUGGAGGCACUACUCAUGUCGCACCGCGGACUGCUCGGUGCCAUGGUUCUCAUGUGAGCACACACGUAGGAGGAGAGACAGAUUCCUUGUCCAAUGAGUCCAGCCAGCGCGUUGCCGCCUUUCUCAUUGGUGGUGCGGUCAGGCCUCUACCACUCACGGGGCUCACGUGAUGAUGAUGAUAUUUGUCUUGACGCCCAUCUUUGUUUAGUCCUAGUGCUAUCCUGUGGUUACUCUUUCACAGGAGUUCACAUGGCAAUUUGUUCAGGUCAGAGGCAGUUGGGCGGGACUUCGUCGAACGUCGAGUGAAGCAGUUUGACCGUGGCUUCUUCGGUCGUUGAUUUGCAGGUCGCUGGUAGUUCUGUUGACUCCAAUCUCUGUGGGGCGUAAGUUGCGUGUUCUUUUGUGGUAUUGGCCGACCGACUUUGAUUUUAUUGUGCCCUUCUUGUGAUGUGUUCAAGUCGGCUGUCUUGGCUUACUACUUUUUCUUCAUUGGGUUGCGCUGGCUUGGUUGACAUGGCCAACAACGUGUGGAAAUCUGAUUAUAUAUUUGUCUUAUCUGAUUAUAUGUGCCCAUGUUUGGAAUUGCCGUCA